GCUAAAACGUGUGCUGGAGCUGGGGUAAGACGGAGAGUGCGAGUGGUCAGUGGAAUAACUGAGCGUAAAGGACACGGAGGCGGUUUAGGAAGUUAGGUGUGAAAUCCUAUGGCUCAACCAGAGAAAUGCACUUGAAACUGUUAGACUAGAGUAUGGGAGGGGGGGAUGGAAUUAGAGGUGUAGGGGUGAAAUCCGUAGAGAUCACUAGGAAUAUCGAAGGCGAAGGCGGUCUCCUGGAAAAUUACUGACGCUAAGGCGUGAAAGCGUGGGGAGCAAACAGGAUUAGAUACCCGAGUAGUC
rnacentral:rRNA from 1 species